GACGAACGCUGGCGGCGUGCCUAAUACAUGCAAGUCGAACGCAGUGGGGACUGGUGAGUAACACGUGGGUAACCUCCCAUCAGAGGGGAUAACACUUGGAAACAGGUGCUAAACCGAUACUGAUGGAUGGACCCGCGGUGCAUUAGCGAGUUGGUGAUGUAACGGCACACCAAGGCCACGAUGCAUAGCGGACCUUGGAGGGUGAUCGGCCACACUGGGACUGAGGCCCGGCCCAGAUUCCUACGGUAGGCAGCAGUAGGGAAUCUGCGGCAAUGGGCGAAAGUCUGACCGAGCAACGCCGCGUGAGUGAAGAAUGUUUUCUGAUCGUAAAACUCUGUUGUUAGAGAAGCGGUAUCUAACCAGAAAGCCACGGCUAACUACGUGCCAGCAGCCGCGGUAAUUC
rnacentral:rRNA from 1 species